UGUAUUCUAAAUCUUGUGCUUGAAAGACAUUUGAGCUAUCUGGGAAUAACUCAGCUCACAAUUCUGGUUUGUUACGUAUUUUUAAGAACUAGACAGUACCAGGUGAUGAGAAUUGCUCUGAGCUGAUCUUGCCAUGGCUUUAUUCCUUAAAUAGCUGCAUCAGUGUUAUUGGUAUGGAAAUGUGAAAAGCAAAGGGGUAAUACUUAGAAUUUUGUUAAUUGGAGAACUGAGCUGGGGAAAAAAGGGAGGUAGUUUAUAUUUGGACAGAAUUGUUUUACACUGUAUCACCUUAAUUGUAAUUGUAGCUGAUUUCUCUUAGAGAUUUUAGGACCUAAAAAGAGCUCCAGUUUGAAGAAAUAGCGCUUAUUCAUGUACCUAGAACAGAGAUUUUAUAUAAAGUGAUCCAUCUGAACUUGGUUCUUGGUAUUUCCCAGAAUUUUGUCAGAUUGGGACUAAAAUUUUUAUUAGCUGAUGAAUAUUGUUAAAAUUUUGUUUUAGGUACUUUUAUGUACUGGAUUCCUUGUUUCACACUUGGAAGGUAGUAAUGCAUAGUGAAAUGUUACUUAGUUUGGCAUACACAAUCUGACAAAAGUUAGAUGAGCACAUGUUUAGACAUUGUGUCAAAGUGCUCAGGCUGCUGGGGGUGGUUUGGAAAGUAAACAUGUCAGUCAAAGAAGACAGCAGAUUCCUCCCCAGCCCCCAGUUUCAUAGCUGAGAAUGUUUAGGCUUGCAUGACUGAUAAACACAGAUACCGUUCUGUUUAGAGAUGGUUGGUUUGUCUUUUCUCUGGAAAUUUUGAAUUUCCAGUGAAGGGUCUAUAUAUAUUUUUUCCUAGUAAAACAGGAAGACCUUUUUCUAAAAGCCACAGAUAAUUUGGUUUUAGCUUGAUUUUGUGUACAUGUUUGUCAAGGCUUUACUUGGGUGCUAAGAUUGUAGUAGCUUCUUAAAAAUGUGUGGGAAGACUGUAUUGGAUAAUACUACUUUUGAAACAGAUGCUCACCAGUCACUGGUCAUACCAAAAAAAUAGGCAUAUUGUGUGUGCUUCAGAGGAGUAUAUUUUGCUUCUAACAGUAUCCCUUCAAGAUUGAGUGGCACUUUUUUGUACCAACAAAACCCAGUAGAUGAAGAGCGUUUAACAGUUGGAUUGGCCCACGCCCACUCUCAGACCCUCAUCUCGAGUCAAAUGGGAGAGCUGGAAGUCACGCUGACUGAAGUAAGUGCUUUGGAUACUACAUAAUACUAGGUGGAAAUACUUAGGAAUCAUCUGAGAAAGAAAUUCUCUACAGGAGAAAACAGUUUAUUAAGAGAAAACUGCAAUUAUACUAUUGGUUGAAGAACUUAACCAGUACCUCCUCCUAAUUAGAGGAAAGCAUCAAUUUUUUGCUACUUGGUUAUUGAACUUCAAAAAUAACUGCAGGUUUUUAAAGGAAACAAUGAUCUGAAAAGUGCAUCUGUAGCUGGAGAGAUUACCUAUUAAUUAUCCUUGCAAAUUAUUUUAAUCUAUUGUAAGCAGGUCAGAAGUGGGUGUUUUUUUAUGGCUGCACCCAAGGCAUAUGGAAGUUCCCGGGCCAGGGACUAAAUCUAAGCAGCAGUUGUGACCUACUCUGCAGGGGCAGCAACACUGGAUCCUUAAAGGAUCUGUAAAGGAUCCUUAAAGCCACUGUACUGAGCUGAGGAUUGAACCUGCACCUCUUCAGUGACCGCUGCUGCAGCAAGAUUCUUAACCCACUGUGCCACAGCAGGAACUCUAAAAAUGUGUAUCAAAAAAUCCUCUGUGCAACUGCUCUAAAAGCUACCCUUCCACAGACCAGAGAGGACAAACUAAAGGGAGUAUUUAUAAGAAAAAAAUCCAGUCAUAUAGAGUUGUGGGAGUAUGAGAUGAGAGAAAACUUAGGAAACAAUUACUUCCUACAGAUUUUGGAAAAGCAAACAGGCUUUUACUCCCUUUGUGAUGGGAUAAAGUAAGAUUUCUUCUUUCAAGUGAAGUGACAUCCAGUUUUCACCUUGAGAGAUUUUGUUGGCGGGGAAUGAGGGUCUCCAGGCUCUGCUUUAGAUAGCACAAGAAAAAACCCUCAGGUAACAGGCCAAGUUCUCAGCUAAUGUGCAGGGAGAUAGAUAAUUGCCAUUAUAACAAAUAAAUGGAGAUUUUGUUUCCUAAAGGAACAAGUGUUUUGUUGUGUUAAAAAUUUUCAUCCAAUUUCAGAAGAAUGUUUUGCAGCUUUUUGAACUGGUGAAAAUGUCUGGUUUGUGGGUGUUGCUACCCUGCUGGUAAAAAAUUCAGGGACUUUGAAAACAGUUUAGUCUCCGAGGAAUCUCAUAAUAGUUUUUGUAUUAUUUCAUUGGGUUCAAUUACUUAGGAGCCGUAAAAUCCCUGAAAUUGGAAAUGGGAAGGUAUUAUGAACCACACCUAACAUUCUCCUGCCUAGGUAUCUUGUGGAAGCAUUCCUUACAGCUGUAGAUAUUGAAAAGUGGCCUGAAUUCAAAGGACCCCAGGGCAGCACAUAAGAUGUGAUUGUAUGUUUCUUAGAGAUGUGAUUGAAGUCUCAACCAAUUUAAGAAUGGUUUUGCCACUUGUAAAUAAAAGAAAGGACUCUUGGCAAAAUAUGGAGCCAAUUAUCAUAGAAUUAAGGAAAGGCCAUGUUUGAGGAAAAAAAUCAGGUAAGUUGGGUGUUGUUACAGAUAAUUUAAAUGAGAGUACACUGCUUUGAUUACUUUGAUUUUUUUUUUUUUUUUUUUGGUCUUUUCUGGGGCCGCUCCCAUGGCAUAUGGAGAUUCCCAGGCUAGGGGUCUAACCAGAGCUGUAGCCACCGGCCUAUGCCAGAGCCACAGGAAUGCCAGAUCCAAGCUGAGUCUGUGACCUACACCACAGCUCAAGGCAACGCCGGAUCUUUAACCCACUGAGCAAGGCCAGGGAUCGAACCCACAACCUCAUGGUUCCUAGUCAGAUUUGUUAACCACUGAGCCACGAUGGGAACUCCUGCUUUGAUUACUUUGAAAGGCAUGAUGUUUUUAUUCAUAGUUUUAUAUAUGCAUAAUUUCAUAUACUCAACCAAUUUCCUUAAGACAAUGACUUUGUCUGGAGUGUUACUUCCCAUUUUUAAGAUUUACCUGCUUUUUAGGUAGGUUUCUCAAGAACGAAGACAGAUCUAGAACUCCAGAAGUAUAGAAAUGCUGGUUUUUUGAUUACCUAAUCACAAUAGCUUCAUGGACUUUUAUGGAGUCACAUGUAUGAUCACCUAAAAUCAGAACCUCAUUUGAUGUAAAUUUGUUUUGCAUUCACUUGCAUAGAAAAGAGAGUAGUUGAAAUUUAUGCUCUUUAUAAAACCAGACUGUCUGGUAUCAGGUACUAAUUAUGUGACUUUAAGUUACUUGUAUCCCAGGUUCCUCAUCUCUAAUGUGGAGGUAAUAUCUACCUGAAGCCAGUCAUGGUGAGAACUGAAUUACAUCCCUUUAAAACUGCGUGUACUAGGUACUGUGUUAGAGGUUACUGAUCAUUGUUAACAAUUCCUAUUAGAAUGAGAAUAAGGUAAAAAUUGGUUUGUUAUAUAAACUUCGUAUUUC
rnacentral:lncRNA from 1 species